rnacentral:ncRNA from 1 species
UCCUAAGGUGGCGAAAUUCCUUGUCGGGUAAGUUCCGACCCGCACGAAAGGCGUAACGAUCUGGGCACUGUCUCGGAGAGAGGCUCGGUGAAAUAGACAUGUCUGUGAAGAUGCGGACUACCUGCACCUGGACAGAAAGACCCUAUGAAGCUUUACUGUUCCCAAAUCAAUUCGUCAGAAUCAAUAAAAAGGCCAUCAUGGACCAAGAUCCAAAACAGAUCAAUCUUGUUAGGAGGUAUUGCCCAA